CUGACAUAAGUAACGAUAAAGCGGGUGAAAAGCCCGCUCGCCGGAAGACCAAGGGUUCCUGUCCAACGUUAAUCGGGGCAGGGUGAGUCGACCCCUAAGGCGAGGCUGAAAAGCGUAGUCGAUGGGAAACAGGUUAAUAUUCCUGUACUUGGUGUUACUGCGAAGGGGGGACGGAGAAGGCUAGGCUAGCCGGGCGACGGUUGUCCCGGUUUAAGCGUGUAGGGGGUGUGACCUGGUAAAUCCGGUUGCAUAUCAACCCUGAGGCGUGAUGACGAUGCACUACGGUGCAGAAGUAGUUGAUGCCCUGCUUCCAGGAAAAUCCUCUAAGCUCCAGGUAACAUUAAAUCGUACCCCAAACCGACACAGGUGGUCAGGUAGAGAAUACCAAGGCGCUUGAGAGAACUCGGGUGAAGGAACUAGGCAAAAUGGUGCCGUAACUUCGGGAGAAGGCACGCUGGCAUGUAGGUGAAGUCCUUCGCGGAUGGAGCUGAAGCCAGUCGAAGAUACCAGCUGGCUGCAACUGUUUAAUAAAAACACAGCACUGUGCAAACACGAAAGUGGACGUAUACGGUGUGACGCCUGCCCGGUGCUGGAAGGUUAAUUGAUGGGUCAGCCGCAAGGCGAAGCUCUUGAUCGAAGCCCCAGUAAACGGCGGCCGUAACUAUAACGGUCCUAAGGUAGCGAAAUUCCUUGUCGGGUAAGUUCCGACCUGCACGAAUGGCGUAAUGAUGGCCAGGCUGUCUCCACCCGAGACUCAGUGAAAUUGAACUCGCUGUGAAGAUGCAGUGUACCCGCGGCAAGACGGAAAGACCCCGUGAACCUUUACUAUAGCUUGACACUGAACAUUGAGCCUUGAUGUGUAGGAUAGGUGGGAGGCUUUGAAGCGUGGACGCCAGUCUGCGUGGAGCCAUCCUUGAAAUACCACCCUUUAAUGUUUGAUGUUCUAACUCGGCCCCGUAAUCCGGGGUGAGGACAGUGUCUGGUGGGUAGUUUGACUGGGGCGGUCUCCUCCCAAAGAGUAACGGAGGAGCACGAAGGUUAGCUAAUCACGGUCGGACAUCGUGAGGUUAGUGCAAAGGCAUAAGCUAGCUUGACUGCGAGAGUGACGGCUCGAGCAGGUACGAAAGUAGGUCUUAGUGAUCCGGUGGUUCUGAAUGGAAGGGCCAUCGCUCAACGGAUAAAAGGUACUCCGGGGAUAACAGGCUGAUACCGCCCAAGAGUUCAUAUCGACGGCGGUGUUUGGCACCUCGAUGUCGGCUCAUCACAUCCUGGGGCUGAAGUAGGUCCCAAGGGUAUGGCUGUUCGCCAUUUAAAGUGGUACGCGAGCUGGGUUUAGAACGUCGUGAGACAGUUCGGUCCCUAUCUGCCGUGGGCGUUGGAAGAUUGAGAGGGGUUGCUCCUAGUACGAGAGGACCGGAGUGAACGCACCACUGGUGUUCGGGUUGUCAUGCCAAUGGCAUUGCCCGGUAGCUAAGUGCGGAAAAGAUAAGCGCUGAAAGCAUCUAAGCGCGAAACUUGCCUCAAGAUGAGUCUUCCCUGGGCCUUCAAGGCCCCUGAAGGAACGUUUAAGACUAAGACGUUGAUAGGCUGGGUGUGUAAGUGCAGCGAUGCAUUGAGCUAACCAGUACUAAUGAUCCGUGAGGCUUAACCUU
rnacentral:rRNA from 1 species